CCCCAGCACGGUGGGCGGCUGCUACUUUGCUUGGUGUCUCUGUCUUCCAUAAGCAAUCUUCCCACCCGAAGACUCCCUGGUUUACACAUUGUGGUUGGAAGUGCAAGGCUGGGGCAAGUUCUGCGGAGUUUUGGAAGUCAUCACAGGGGCACGGUCCCAGCACGUGUACUCAUGGGGACACUAUGCUUCCCACACAAGAAUACCUCCAGCCAUUCCGAUACUUGAGCCGACAUCCUACAACCUAUACUGGAAGACCAGGUCUGAAACAGGUGCAGUGACCCAAGGACUUGGGUCAUCUUCUACUGCUUUCCCAGGCCACAGCAGAGAGCUGGAUCGGAAGAGGAGCAGCCGGGUCUUGAACCGGCACCCAUAUGGAAUGCUGGCGCCACAGGUGGAGGAUUAACCUACUCCGCCAUGGAGCUGGCCCAAUGCUUAUUUGUUUUCAUGUACUGUCGCUCCCCGUCUUCGUGGAGGAACGACACAGGACCCUGCGCUGUUCUUUUGUCUGCUCGGCCCUCCCCGGGUUUGCUGCUGGUUCUUCCCGGGUUGGUUACCGACCCUUCCACCUCCUUGGAAGGGCGGUUCCCCCUAGCCACUUUCCCCACUUCCGCAGGGGAGUGGCACACCGCCGGCCGGCUCUCUCGGGGGCUGCACAGGUGUUCCUUCAGAUAGAUGUUCCUGGUGCAUGUUGUCUCUCUCCUCCUUUAUAGUCCUUUUCCACCAAUCCCAACUCUGCUACCCACACGCUGAGUACGCUGCUCUCCUCCAAUCAGGAGCAGGUCCUACAGUUUAUUGGUUGAACUGGAGGCAGCUAUGUAGAAGCUGUUUCUCCCUUCUCAGCGCCAUAUUGUGGGAGAGCAGAUGCAUAGAAUAAGUCUUAAUUCCAGUAACUUAGUCUAGUCCGGGUUGCUCCCCACAAUGUACUUGAAAGGCAGAGUGACAGACCACGAAAGAAAAAGAUCUGCCAUCCACGGGUUCACUCCUCAAAUACCUGCAGCAGCCAGGAACCAGGAGCUCCCUCGGGGUCUCCGAGGUGGAUGGCAGGGGCCCAAGUACUUGGCCAUCCUGUGCUGCUUCCCAGGAUGCACUAGCAGGGGCUGGGAAGAAGUCAGAACUUGAAUUAGCACUCCGAGUUGAGCGUCCCAAGUGGCGGCCUGAUCCGCUGUCACAACACUGCUCCAUGGCCCCUCUUGAACCAGUUUGUUGUUCUGUCCUCAUUUCCUUACUCUGAGCCUGGACGGGAACAGCCUGUACUGCGCUCGAGGUUUCAUCAGCUGCUCUGGGUCUCCUGACUUCCUCCUCCGGACAGUGGAUGCAGCCGGAUCAGAGAGAACCUUGUGAUGCCUUGCAGGUCUAUACUAAUGGCUGCAAACGCAGAUGCCUGCAGGGAACUCACAGUCUUCCCUAAGACGAUAGGACUGAGGCCAGUGUAUGAAUCCAGGUCAUUCUGACUCAAGUCUCAGAACUUAAAAAUUCCUUUUGCUCCUGGUUUCAUUAUCUUCCCUUGCUUUUAUUGGAACCGCCAACAAGUGGCAAGUAACUAUUACCUUCUUGUUACUGUACUUCUAGUUUACUCACUCUGCAUUCUUGUUGAGGACCUGUUCUGUACUAGGCAUUACAAAGUAAAGACCCUUUAGUUAGUUAUGAAGUAAGCUAGCCCGGAUGGGUGCCAGCUGCAUCGCCUGUUGUCAAGCGUUGUUUCAUGUUGUUUCAGUGUUGUCAUGUGUGUAUGCUCCACAUGUGUCCACACCAAGUGGUCCUGCCCAUGGGCAUGCCCACCCGCAGCAUCUGCUCUGUUCCACGUCACGCCAACACGCGCUCACUAUUAGGGUUUUUAAUUUGUGACAGUCUGGUGGAGUGAAAUGAUCUAUCACCUUGGCUUUGAUUUACAUUUCCCUGCUACCACUUGAGGCUGAGAAAUUGUUCCUGUUUCUUGGCCUGCCUGGAUCACUUCCAAAAAGGAUCAGUUGUUGUCCCAACUGUACAGGCUUGUCUCUGGUAGUGAACUCCUCUUUCUAACUCCAGAAGACUCUCUAGCUGAGAAGUGAGUCCUGCCAGCUUAUGCGGUCUACACAGUGAAUAGAACUCAGGUCAGGUUGACUGCAAUUCACAAAGGCGGCUGGCGCUACGGCUCAAUAGGUUAAUCUUCCGCCUGCGGUGCCGGCACCCCGGGUUCUAGUCCCAGUCAGGGUGCCGGAUUCUGUCCCGGUUGCCCUUCUUCUAGGCCAGGAAGAGGCCCUGGAGGGCAGUGGAGGAUGGCCCAGGUGCUUGGGCCCUGCACCCACGUGGGAGACCAGGAGAAGCACCUGGCGCCAGUGUGGUGUGCUGGCCGCAGCGCGCCAGCCGUAGCGGCCAUUGGAGGGUAAACCAACAGCAAAGGAAGACCUUUCUCUCUGUUUCUCUGUUUCUCUCUCUCACUGUUCACUCUGCCUGUCCAAAAAAAAAAAAAAAAAAAUCACAAAGGCACAGAAAGGCCCGGAAUAACCCCUUGAUCAGACAAUCCCAGGCAAGGUGGUUUCAGUGUAACUGAACUCUGGCAUAUCUACCAGCACCUUUGAGAAUCUUCAUUAUUAAACACUAUUACAGCACACCAAUUUCUCUGGUAAGAUAAUUUGUGAAGCAAGCAGAGAAAAAUAAAGCUUGGUUGAGGAACCGGUGCUAACAACUC